UACGUAGGUGGCAAGCGUUAGUCGGAAUUACUAGGCGUAAAGCGCAGGUAGGUGGUUGGGGAAGUCCGUAAUGAAAUCUCCCGGCUUAACUGGGAGGGGCUUGCGGAUACUGCCCGACUCGAGUGUGGGAGAGGUAACUGGAAUUCCUGGUGUAGCGGUGAAAUGCGUAGAUAUCAGGAGGAACACCUAUGGCGAAAGCAGGUUACUGGCCCAAUACUGACGCUGAGCUGCGAAAGCUAGGGGAGCAAACAGG
rnacentral:rRNA from 1 species